rnacentral:rRNA from 1 species
UACGGAAGGCAGCAGUGGGGAAUAUUGCACAAUGGGCGAAAGCCUGAUGCAGCUAUGCCGCGUGUAUGAAGAAGGCCUUAGGGUUGUAAAGUACUUUCAUCGGGGAGGAAAAACAAAACUAAUAAUUUUAUUUCUUGACGUUACCCGAAAAAGAAGCACCGGCUAACUCCGUGCCAGCAGCCGCGGUAAUACGGAGGGUGCUAGCGUUAAUCAGAAUUACUGGGCGUAAAGAGCACGUAGGUGGUUUUUUUAAGUCAGAUGUGAAAUCCCUGGGCUUAACCUAGGAACUGCAUUUUGAAACUGAAAUACUAGAGUAUCGUAUAGGGAGGUAGAAUUCUAGGUGUAGCGGUGAAAUGCGUAGAUAUCUGGAGGAAUACCUGUGGCGAAAGCGGCCUCCUAAACGAAUACUGACACUGAGGUGCGAAAGCGUGGGGAGCAAACAGGGAUUAGAUACC